rnacentral:misc_RNA from 1 species
CUGAGUUAGGGUCUUUUGGCCCGACCUCCAACCCUUUGUUUAUUAUACCCAUGUUGCUUUGGUGGGCCUGCCUUUCGGGGCUGCCGGGGGCAUUACCGCCCCUGACUCGUGCCUGCCAGGAGCCUUCUGAAAUUCAGUGUUCAAUGGUGCUGUCUGAGUCCCAGUAUCAAAAAUAUCAA